GACGAACGCUGGCGGCGUGCUUAACACAUGCAAGUCGAACGGAAAGGCCCUGCUUUUGUGGGGUGCUCGAGUGGCGAACGGGUGAGUAACACGUGAGUAACCUGCCCUUGACUUUGGGAUAACUUCAGGAAACUGGGGCUAAUACCGGAUAGGAGCUCCUGCUGCAUGGUGGGGGUUGGAAAGUUUCGGCGGUUGGGGAUGGACUCGCGGCUUUUCAGCUUGUUGGUGGGGUAGUGGCUUACCAAGGCUUUGACGGGUAGCCGGCCUGUGAGGGUGACCGGCCACAUUGGGACUGAGAUACGGCCCGGACUCCUACGGGAGGCAGCAGUGGGGAGUAUUGCACAAUGGGCGGAAGCCUGAUGCAGCCACGCCUCGUGCGGGAUGACGGCCUUCGGGUUGUAAACCGCUUUCGCCUGUGACGAAGCGUGAGUGACGGUAAUGGGUAAAGAAGCACCGGCUACCUACGU
rnacentral:rRNA from 1 species